rnacentral:SRP_RNA from 2 species
GCCGGGCGUGGUGGCGCACACCUGUAAUCCCAGCUACUCAGGAGGCUGAGGCAGGAGAAUUGCUUGAACCUGGGAAGCGGAGGUUGCAGUGAGCUGAGAUCAUGCCACUGCACUCCAGCCUGGGUGACAGAGCAAGACUCCGUCUUGA